AUCAAUAAGCGGAGGACAAGAAACCAACAGGGAUUGCCCUAGUAACGGCGAGUGAAGCGGCAACAGCUCAAAUUUGAAAUCUGGCUCCCUCGGGGCCCGAGUUGUACUUUGCAGAGGGCGCUUCGGCGUCGGCAGCGGCCUAAGUGCCUUGGAACAGGUCCGUCACAGAGGGUGAGAGCCCCGUACGUGGCCGCCUGUCGUCGCCGUGUGAAGCCCCUUCGACGAGUCGAGUUGUUUGGGAAUGCAGCUCUAACUGGGAGGUAAAUUUCUUCUAAAGCUAAAUACUGGCCAGAGACCGAUAGCGCACAAGUAGAGUGAUCGAAAGAUGAAAAGCACUUUGGAAAGAGAGUCAAACAGCACGUGAAAUUGUUGAAAGGGAAGCGCUUGCAGCCAGACGUGCCCGCCGUUGCUCAUCCGGGAUCCUUCCCGGUGCACUCUUCGGCGGGCAGGCCAGCAUCGGUCCGGGCGGUCGGAGAAAGACCUGUGUCACGUAGCUGCCCUCGGGCAGUGUUAUAGGGCAGGUGGCAUACGACCAGCCGGGACCGAGGUCCGCGCAUCUGCUAGGAUGCUGGCGUAAUGGCGGCAAGCGGCCCGUCUUGAAACACGGACCAAGGAGUCUAACAUCUAUGCGAGUGUUUGGGUGUCAAGCCCGAGCGCGCAAUGAAAGUGAACGGAGGUGGGACCCCUCGGGUGCACCAUCGACCGAUCCUGAUGUCUUCGGAUGGAUUUGAGUACGAGCAUAGCUGUUGGGACCCGAAAGAUGGUGAACUAUGCCUGAAUAGGGUGAAGCCAGAGGAAACUCUGGUGGAGGCUCGCAGCGGUUCUGACGUGCAAAUCGAUCGUCAAAUUUGGGCAUAGGGGCGAAAGACUAAUC
rnacentral:rRNA from 1 species